GUAGGUGGCAAGCGUUGUCCGGAUUUACUGGGUGUAAAGGGCGUGCAGCCGGGCAUGCAAGUCAGAUGUGAAAUCUCAGGGCUUAACCCUGAAACUGCAUUUGAAACUGUAUGUCUUGAGUGCUGGAGAGGUAAUCGGAGUUCCUUGUGUAGCGGUGAAAUGCGUAGAUAUAAGGAAGAACACCAGUGGCGAAGGCGGAUUACUGGACGGUAACUGACGGUNANGCGCGAGAGCGUGGGGAGCGAACAGGAUUAGAUACCCUGGUAGUCCACGCUGUAAACGAUGGAUACUAGGUGUGCGGGGACUGACCCCCUGCGUGCCGCAGUUAACACAAUAAGUAUCCCACCUGGGGAGU
rnacentral:rRNA from 1 species